GUGGGGAUGGCUCAAUUGGUUAAGAGCACUGGCUGUCCUUUUAGAGGACCUGGGUUCGAUUUCCAGCACCCAUG
rnacentral:tRNA from 1 species